AGAGUUUGAUCAUGGCUCAGAUUGAACGCUGGCGGCAGGCCUAACACAUGCAAGUCGAACGGUAACAGGAAGCAGCUUGCUGCUUCGCUGACGAGUGGCGGACGGGUGAGUAAUGACUGGGAAGCUGCCUGAUGGAGGGGGAUAACUACUGGAAACGGUAGCUAAUACCGCAUAAUGUCGCAAGACCAAAGAGGGGGACCUUCGGGCCUCUUGCCAUCGGAUGUGCCCAGAUGGGAUUAGCUUGUUGGUGGGGUAACGGCUCACCAAGGCGACGAUCCCUAGCUGGUCUGAGAGGAUGACCAGCCACACUGGAACUGAGGCACGGUCCAGACUCCUACGGGAGGCAGCAGUGGGGAAUAUUGCACAAUGGGCGCAAGCCUGAUGCAGCCAUGCCGCGUGUAUGAAGAAGGCCUUCGGGUUGUAAAGUACUUUCAGCGGGGAGGAAGGGAGUAAAGUUAAUACCUUUGCUCAUUGACGUUACCCGCAGAAGAAGCACCGGCUAACUCCGUGCCAGCAGCCGCGGUAAUACGGAGGGUGCAAGCGUUAAUCGGAAUUACUGGGCGUAAAGCGCACGCAGGCGGUUUGUUAAGUCAGAUGUGAAAUCCCCGGGCUCAACCUGGGAACUGCAUCUGAUACUGGCAAGCUUGAGUCUCGUAGAGGGGGGUAGAAUUCCAGGUGUAGCGGUGAAAUGCGUAGAGAUCUGGAGGAAUACCGGUGGCGAAGGCGGCCCCCUGGACGAAGACUGACGCUCAGGUGCGAAAGCGUGGGGAGCAAACAGGAUUAGAUACCUUGGUAGUCCACGCCGUAAACGAUGUCGACUUGGAGGUUGUGCCCUUGAGGCGUGGCUUCCGGAGCUAACGCGUUAAGUCGACCGCCUGGGGAGUACGGCCGCAAGGUUAAAACUCAAAUGAAUUGACGGGGGCCCGCACAAGCGGUGGAGCAUGUGGUUUAAUUCGAUGCAACGCGAAGAACCUUACCUGGUCUUGACAUCCACGGAAGUUUUCAGAGAUGAGAAUGUGCCUUCGGGAACCGUGAGACAGGUGCUGCAUGGCUGUCGUCAGCUCGUGUUGUGAAAUGUUGGGUUAAGUCCCGCAACGAGCGCAACCCUUAUCCUUUGUUGCCAGCGGUCCGGCCGGGAACUCAAAGGAGACUGCCAGUGAUAAACUGGAGGAAGGUGGGGAUGACGUCAAGUCAUCAUGGCCCUUACGACCAGGGCUACACACGUGCUACAAUGGCGCAUACAAAGAGAAGCGACCUCGCGAGAGCAAGCGGACCUCAUAAAGUGCGUCGUAGUCCGGAUUGGAGUCUGCAACUCGACUCCAUGAAGUCGGAAUCGCUAGUAAUCGUGGAUCAGAAUGCCACGGUGAAUACGUUCCCGGGCCUUGUACACACCGCCCGUCACACCAUGGGAGUGGGUUGCAAAAGAAGUAGGUAGCUUAACCUUCGGGAGGGCGCUUACCACUUUGUGAUUCAUGACUGGGGUGAAGUCGAAACAAGGUA
rnacentral:rRNA from 1 species